UAAUCUCAAUUUGUAACUGUGAGCGAAUUCGAUAUGCUGAACUCACGUUGCAUAUGGAGAUUGCC
rnacentral:pre_miRNA from 1 species